GGGGGGUAUCACCCCUUCGUCCCAGUGCCGAGCCGACGCUACUGGAGCCAGAGGGAUUCUGGGGUCCAGGGAAGACCUCCGCACACUGAUGUCGCACACGCGGAUCACAACGUAGGAAACUUGUUUUCGCGCACUCGAAUAUAAAACACGUCCGGUA